UUACGGCUAUAUCACGUUGAAACACCGGUUCUCGUACGAACACCGAAGUUAAGCAACAUAGAGCCUGGACAGUAUCUAGAUGGGUGACUUGAUGUGCGGGUACUGCA